CCUACGGGAGGCAGCAGUGAGGAAUAUUGGUCAAUGGACGAGAGUCUGAACCAGCCAAGUAGCGUGAAGGAUGACUGCCCUAUGGGUUGUAAACUUCUUUUAUAUGGGAAUAAAAUGUUCCACGUGUGGGAUUUUGUAUGUACCAUAUGAAUAAGGAUCGGCUAACUCCGUGCCAGCAGCCGCGGUAAUAUGGAGGGUCCGAGCGUUAUCCGGAUUUAUUGGGUUUAAAGGGAGCGUAGGUGGAUUGUUAAGUCAGUUGUGAAAGUUUGCGGCUCAACCGUAAAAUUGCAGUUGAAACUGGCAGUCUGGAGUACAGUAGAGGUGGGCGGAAUUCGUGGUGUAGCGGUGAAAUGCUUAGAUAUCACGAAGAACUCCGAUUGCGAAGGCAGCUCACUGGACUGCAACUGACACUGAGGCUCGAAAGUGUGGGUAUCAAACAGGAUUAGAUACCCGAGUAGUC
rnacentral:rRNA from 1 species